AACACAUGCAAGUCGAGGGGAAACGACGGGGAAGCUUGCUUCCCCCGGGCGUCGACCGGCGCACGGGUGAGUAACGCGUAUCCAACCUGCCUCUGACUGAGGGAUAACCCGUCGAAAGUCGGCCUAAUACCUCAUGGCAUCGUCUGCGGGCAUCCAACGACGAUUAAAGAUUUCAUCGGUCAGAGAUGGGGAUGCGUCUGAUUAGCUAGUUGGCGGGGUAACGGCCCACCAAGGCGACGAUCAGUAGGGGUUCUGAGAGGAAGGUCCCCCACAUUGGAACUGAGACACGGUCCAAACUCCUACGGGAGGCAGCAGUGAGGAAUAUUGGUCAAUGGGCGAGAGCCUGAACCAGCCAAGUAGCGUGCAGGAUGACGGCCCUAUGGGUUGUAAACUGCUUUUAUGCGGGGAUAAAGUGAGGGACGUGUCCUUCAUUGCAGGUACCGCAUGAAUAAGGACCGGCUAAUUCCGUGCCAGCAGCCGCGGUAAUACGGAAGGUCCGGGCGUUAUCCGGAUUUAUUGGGUUUAAAGGGAGCGUAGGCCGCGGAUUAAGCGUGUUGUGAAAUGCAGGUGCUCAACGUCUGCACUGCAGCGCGAACUGGUCCACUUGAGUGUGCGCAACGCAG
rnacentral:rRNA from 1 species